AGAGCUGAGCAAAGGCUAAGCCUUUAUCACCUUUUGCUCAAAAGUAUGAAUCCAUUUAGGCAAACUUGGGGAGGUUGGAUGGAUACUAUGGCUUAAGUGGUUGACAAAGAUUGGUGCUAUUGGCGGUACAUAGACGCAAUGAGGAUGACAAGAAAGCUACUGCUUUGAAAGAGGAAGAAAGUGAGCUGGAGGAACUGGGGUACCUUCAUUGAGCUGAGAGGGGUCUAAAAAUUGGGAUUCAUUUCUGAGCAGCUGCUGGCAUGUCAGAGGCUUGGAAUCGGCCUGGUAAAUCUAAAACUGUCUCAGCAGUGGUUAGCUGACCUCACCCAAGUUCCAAGCCUUACUCUGCUUGAUCCUUUUUUCUUGAGCCUCAGAGCUAAAAUGCUCCUGAGCUCCUUCUGAUUGGUUGAGAAGACCAAUUGAAGUUCCCUUGCCCAUGUUAGGAGGUGUACGCCUCCUGAACUAAAGAUAGAAACAGCUGGCCCUUCCAGGCAGCUAAAAGCCUCCAGACUAAGAGGUGUUUCCCACUCGUCAGCCAGACUCCUUGAAAUACCCUUUGAGUAAUUCUACCAACGUCCUCCAUGUCUCUGUUCUGCCAUAACAAAGGCUGUGGGCAGCACUUUGACCCCAAUGCAAACCUUCCUGAUUCCUGUUGCCAUCACCCUGGGGUCCCAAUCUUCCAUGAUGCACUUAAGGGUUGGUCCUGCUGCCGGAAGCGAACUGCAGAUUUCUCUGAGUUCUUAAACAUCAAGGGCUGUACUGUGGGACCACACUGUGCUGAGAAGCUCCCUGAGGCCCCUCAACCUGAGGGGCCUGCCACAAGCAGUUCACUUCAGGAGCAAAAACCUCUGAAUACGAUUCCAAAGUCAGCAGAGACUUUGCGUCGGGAGAGGCCCAAGUCAGAGUUACCUCCAAAGCUUCUUCCGCUAAAUAUAUCCCAAGCCCUGGAAAUGGCAUUGGAACAGAAGGAAUUAGACCAAGAACCUGGAGCAGGUCUUGACAGUAGUCUGAUCCGGAGUGGUUCCAGCUGCCAGAAUCCAGGAUGUGAUGCUGUUUACCAAAGCCCUGAGAGUGAUGCUACUCCAUGUACCUACCACCCAGGAGCACCUCGAUUCCAUGAGGGGAUGAAGUCCUGGAGCUGCUGUGGCAUCCAGACCCUGGAUUUUGGGGCAUUCCUGGCACAGCCAGGAUGCAGAGUUGGUAGGCAUGACUGGGGGAAGCAGCUGCCAGCAUCUUGCCGUCAUGAUUGGCACCAGACAGAUUCCUUAGUAGUGGUGACUGUGUAUGGCCAGAUUCCACUUCCUGCGUUCAAUUGGGUGAAGGCCAGUCAAACUGAGCUUCAUGUCCACAUUGUCUUUGAUGGUAACCGUGUGUUCCAAGCACAGAUGAAGCUCUGGGGGGAGACCAGCAACUAUCCAGAAUUCCUGGAGAGGAUGAAGGUCUUGCUGGUCUACAAAGUGAUAACAUAUUUAACAUACCAUUGCAUCAGCUCCAGGAUUAAGGGAGAUUGUAUUCACCUGCUGAUGGAAUAAAGUCUCAUGUAUAGAAUGCCACGGUGCUCACCACUUCUACCCACAUUAUUUUACUUAAUCUUCACACCUGCCUUGUGAGUGUGGUGUGGCUGAUGGGAAGCUGCAAACGCUGCAUUCCUUUUGCUACCAAGAAGGAAGUGAAAUUUAUGAUGAAGCUCACACUUUGGAAGACAGAUCUGACAGAAAUUAGGUCCUUGGUGAUAUUGUUGAUCCAUGGAAUUAAAUCAACUGCAAAGAUCUCUGAUCCCCUGGAAUUUGCAUUUGUAUGAACCAAUAAAUCUGCUUUAUUGUUUGA